rnacentral:lncRNA from 1 species
AGCACAUCACAUCAAAUGUUUUGCUGUGGCAAAGUCGCGAUCACUGGAUAAGAAACUGUGACCGCGAACUGGGAAAUAAUGGUGGAUUGUGUUGAAUCUUCCUGUCAUUGUUAGUGCUAAGAACAUUCUUAUCAUGGUGUGGUUGCGGUUUUGACAACCGCAAGCGUCACUAAAAACAUGUAACUCUUUCACUUCAAGGGGUAUUUUGUCUGUGAUGUACUUAUAUACCAUCGUACAAACAUCAUUAGGCCCCUUUUUCCCUGAACCCUCAUGAUAGGUAUAAAAUACUACUUUAUUAGUUGUUAGGUAAUAGACAUUAAAGACAUACAACCAUAGUUUACGCAGGUAAAACAUUUCUUGCACAGGUAAUGCAGGCAACUGUACAUUUUGCAUAAAGUCAAAACUAAUUGCCAUAAUAUCUGUUCUGUUAUUGCACAUUUCUGGAACAUAUUUUAUUUUAGAG